UCGUCUCGGAGACACCGUGAGCGGUGCAC
rnacentral:sRNA from 1 species